rnacentral:tRNA from 1 species
GCGCUCGUGGUGUAGUGGUCAGCACGCUCUGCGUGUAACCGAGAGGUCCGUGGUUCGAUUCCCGGCGAAGGCG